UACGGGGGGAGCAAGCGUUGUUCGGAUUUACUGGGCGUAAAGGGCGCGUAGGCGGCCAGCACAAGUCAGUUGUGAAAUCUCCGAGCUUAACUCGGAAAGGUCAACUGAUACUGUGCGGCUAGAGUGCGGAAGGGGCAACUGGAAUUCUUGGUGUAGCGGUGAAAUGCGUAGAUAUCAAGAGGAACACCUGCGGCGAAGGCGGGUUGCUGGGCUGACACUGACGCUGACAGCGCGAAAGCUAGGGGAGCGAACGGG
rnacentral:rRNA from 1 species